AUGGAUGACAGUUGCGCGGUGUGCGCGGACGCGCUCGAAUGGGUGGCUUACGGGCCGUGCGGGCACCGCGAAGUGUGUUCAACCUGCGUCGUCCGCCUUCGCUUCGUACUCGAGGAUUCUCUAUGCUGCAUCUGUAAGACGGAUUGCCCCUCCGUCUUCGUCACAAAGGCCAUGGGAGAUUACACAAAAGUGAUCUUGGAUUUCUCUGUUUUGCCCACUGAGGCAAAUGAGGGAAAUGUGGGGGAGUACUGGUACCAUGAGGAUACAAAGGCAUACUUUGAUGAUGCUGAUCAUUAUAAGAUGAUAAGGGCGAUGUGCCGACUUUCUUGUAGUGUAUGUGACAAAGCUGAGGACCAGGUUGGUCAGGCAGCACAAGCAAAGCGCCGAAGCAGGUUCAAGAGCAUUGAUCAGCUAAAGGGACAUUUGUUCCAUCAGCAUAGGUUAUACAUGUGUAAUCUUUGCUUGGAGGGGAGAAAGGUAUUCAUUUGUGAACAGAAGCUUUAUACAAGGGCACAGUUAGCUCAGCAUACAAAAACUGGUGACUCUGAGGUGGAUGGCUCUGAGAUUGAACGCAGUGGUUUUGCAGGACACCCAGUGUGUGAAUUUUGUAAAUAUCCAUUAUAUGGAGAUAAUGAGCUUUACACACAUAUGUCCAGAGAACACUAUUCGUGCCACAUAUGUCAAAGGCAGCAUCCUGGGCAGUAUGAUUAUUUCCGGAACUAUGAUGAUUUAGAGAUGCAUUUUCGUAAAGAUCAUUUCCUCUGUGAAGAUGAUGCAUGUUUGGCCAAGAAAUUUGUUGUCUUCCAGAGUGACGCAGAGAUCAAGAGACAUAAUGCUAUGGAGCAUGGUGGGCGGAUGUCUCGUGCCCAGAGGAAUGCGGCACUUCAGAUACCUACCAGUUUUAUAUACCAAAGGAAUGAGCAAGAUCAAAGGCGUGGCAGAGGUAGGGGCCAUAAUGCUCACCAUGACAGAUUUGACAGGGAUUUCUCAUUAUCUGUGCGGGAUGGCAGUGCAACUGCAGACCAUGGCCUUGGAAGUCGAGUUGAUAGUGUUGCAGGGCCUUUCCAGUCAUUAAGUGUCAGUUCCAGUUCUGGUCGAAGUCGAACAGAAAUUGGUCGAAGCUUAGGGAAUCGUCGCGUGCUCGAGCAGUUGUCUUUUCCUCCACUUCAAGACCAGGAUAUUCCUGAUGCUAGGAUUGAUGCUGUUCCCUAUGAAACCUUGUUUCCUCCCGUCUCAGAGCAGCAAUCAAGGUAUGCGCUGGCUCUUAAUCAGAGCUCAAGGGGUUCUGCGAGGCUUGGUGAUGAAUCAUUAUUCCCUCCAUUGCCUGGGUCAAGUAACAAGGGUUCUGCUUCAACACAACAGGGGCUGCAAAGUCUUGCUAAGAACACACUUGCAUCAAGGCUGCAACAACGUAGUAAGGGCUCCGUGAAGGUACUAUAUUCUGCUCAGUCUCAAACAGGUGAAAAUCCUGAGAUAGUACCUCAUGUUUCCACUUCCACCCAGACAUGGCCUACACCUGACCAGGGGCUACAUCUCUCUGGUUCUUCUCAACUUCGGAUUGUAACUCAAUCAACAAGAGAUAAUGGGCUCAUGCCAUCUGCCUCCAGCGGUUCAGCAUGGAAUUCCAGAGCUUCAAACAAGAUGAAGCACUCUAUUUCGACCCCUAAUUUUGUUUCUGGUGGGUCCUCUGCCCAGGCAUCAUCAAGUACAGCUUAUGGCAAUAAAAAGCAACUGCCACCACAAAGCAGCCAACCUUUGCCUGUUGUGGAGGAUGUUCGACAAGCAAACAAAUCCCUUGUGGAAAGAAUGCGUGUUGCAUUAGGAAUGGAUGAGGAUAGGUUCUCCGCGUUCAAAGAAAUUGCAAGUGAAUACCGUCAAGGCGUCAUUGAUACUUCAGAGUAUCUCUCGUAUGUGGAGCAGUUUGGUAUAUCACAUCUUGUUCCUGAAAUGGCUAAGUUGUUGCCUGAUCCUCUGAAGCAGAUGGAACUUGCUGAUGCCUAUUACACCAACAUGCGUUUUAAAAGUCUCCAAGAAAAUGGCGGUUGUGAAACCAUUACUGUGAAAGAGAACAAGCGUAAAAAUAAGGGCAAGGGAAAAACACUUGAUGCAGAAACAGCUACUGCUAAGGAUGCAAGUGAAUCGCUAGCUGAUAGCUUUAUGGACACUGUAAGAAAGCUUCAGUCGAACAACAAGGCUCAAGAAGGAGAGGCUGCAGUGCUUUCGAAGGAUGGGUAUCGAUCUUCCAAGGAAAAAAUCCCACUAUCAGCUGGAGGGUCAUCCUGUGGUACAAAGAUGUGUCUAGACGGUGAUCCAGUUGCCAUUUCAAAGGCGUCUGGCACUAGUAGGUAUGUGGGCAAGGGUGGAGGAAGCACCGGUAGCAGCAGCAGCAGCAGCAGUAACAACAAACAAUCGAAGAAGACGUCAAAGUUUCUCAGAGCCCGGUUGGGUGACAACUCAUUGGCUACACUUGAUUUUAGUCAUCCUGAUGUGAGCCCUGAACGACCUGAAAGGGAGACACAAGUCCUGCAAACUGGGUUGCCUGUGCGAAGUGUUUGGAAGAAUGGUGCAGCACAGAAGCUCUUCUCCAGCAAUGGAAAGAAAUAG
rnacentral:rRNA from 1 species